rnacentral:rRNA from 1 species
CCUACGGGGUGCUGCAGUGGGGAAUAUUGCACAAUGGGGGAAACCCUGAUGCAGCGACGCCGCGUGAGUGAAGAAGUAUCUCGGUAUGUAAAGCUCUAUCAGCAGGGAAGAAAAUGACGGUACCUGACUAAGAAGCCCCGGCUAACUACGUGCCAGCAGCCGCGGUAAUACGUAGGGGGCAAGCGUUAUCCGGAUUUACUGGGUGUAAAGGGAGCGUAGACGGCGCUGCAAGUCCGGAGUGAAAGCCCAUGGCUUAACCAUGGUACUGCUCUGGAAACUGUGGAGCUUGAGUGCGGGAGGGGCAGGCGGAAUUCCUAGUGUAGCGGUGAAAUGCAUAGAUAUCACGCAGAACUCCGAUUGCGAAGGCAGCAUACCGGCGCGCAACUGACGCUCAUGCACGAAAGCGUGGGUAUCGAACAGGAUUAGAUACCCUUGUAGUC